rnacentral:rRNA from 1 species
UACGUAGGGGGCAAGCGUUGUUCGGAAUGACUGGGCGUAAAGGGUGCGUAGGCGGUGUAGCAAGUUAGAAGUGAAAUACCUAGAGCUUAACUCAGGUGCUGCUUCUAAAACUGCUAUACUUGAGUGCAGUAGAGGAAAGUGGAAUUCCUAGUGUAGCGGUGGAAUGCGUAGAUAUAUGGAGGAACACCGGUGGCGAAAGCGGCUCUCUGGCCUGUAACUGACACUGAGGCUCGAAAGCGUGGGGAGCAAACGGG